CAGGCCUAACACAUAGUAGUCGCGGGGCAGCACUGGGAUUGCUUGCAAUCCCUGGUGGSGRCCGGCGCACGGGUGAGUAACGCGUAUCCAACCUGCCCUGCAGUGGGGAACAGCCCGGCGAAAGUCGGAUUAAUGCCCCAUGGCGUCCUCGGCGGGCAUCUAAUGAGGACUAAAGGCUUCGGCCGCUGCGGGAUGGGGAUGCGUAGGAUUAGGCAGGCGGCGGGGCGACGGCCCACCGCGCCGACGAUCCUUAGGGGUUCUGAGAGGAAGGUCCCCCAUACUGGUACUGAGACACGGACCAGACUCCUACGGGAGGCAGCAGUGAGGAAUAUUGGUCAAUGGGCGAUGGCCUGAACCAGCCAAGUCGCGUGCGGGAUGAAGGCCCUCCGGGUCGUAAACCGCUUUAGCCGGGGAGUAACGUGUGGGACGCGUCCCACAGUGAGAGUACCCGGAGAAUAAGCAUCGGCUAACUCCGUGCCAGCAGCCGCGGUAAUACGGAGGAUGCGAGCGUUAUCCGGAUUUAUUGGGUUUAAAGGGUGCGCAGGCGGCGAGGCAAGUCAGCGGUCAAACUGCGGGGCUCAACCCCGUACCGCCGUUGAAACUGUCUGGCUCGAGUGCGUGCGAUGUGGGCGGAAUGCGCGGUGUAGCGGUGAAAUGCAUAGAUAUCGCGCAGAACUCCGAUUGCGAAGGCAGCCUCCAAGCACGCCACUGACGCUCAUGCACGAAAGCGUGGGUAUCGAACAGGAUUAGAUACCCUGGUAGUCCACGCGGUAAACGAUGAUAACUAGUUAUCCGGGCAGAUUGAUGUCUGGGUGACCGAGCGAAAGCGUUAAGUUAUCCACCUGGGGAGUACGCCGGCAACGGUGAAACUCAAAGGAAUUGACGGGGGCCCGCACAAGCGGAGGAACAUGUGGUUUAAUUCGAUGAUACGCGAGGAACCUUACCCGGGCUCAAACGCAUCGUGCUACGCCCUGAAAGGGGCGGUUCUUCGGACGCGAUGCGAGGUGCUGCAUGGUUGUCGUCAGCUCGUGCCGUGAGGUGUCGGCUUAAGUGCCAUAACGAGCGCAACCCCCAUCUUCAGUUGCCCCCGGGUGAUGCCGGGCACUCUGGAGAGACUGCCGGCGCAAGCUGUGAGGAAGGCGGGGAUGACGUCAAAUCAGCACGGCCCUUACGUCCGGGGCGACACACGUGUUACAAUGGCGGGGCACAGCGGGAAGCCAGGCGGCGACGCCGAGCCGAUCCCGAAAACCCGUCUCAGUUCGGAUCGGAGUCUGCAACCCGACUCCGUGAAGCUGGAUUCGCUAGUAAUCGCGCAUCAGCCAUGGCGCGGUGAAUACGUUCCCGG
rnacentral:rRNA from 1 species